AGGUAACUGGACAAAAUAAGAAGAUGGGAGCUGCUGGUGAUAACCUGGCAGUGAUCGAGGUGAUGCCAUCACUCUACCUGUGGUCAUCAGGGUGUCUGUGGAGGUUUGGGUGAAGGACACGAGCCUUGACUCUCAAAGCUUGCUGCUCUUCCAGGCCACUGCAAGGGGGAAUAUAUCCGAACAUUUCUCCCGGUCGACGUGCCCCGUGAGACAAAGUUCCGUAACGAUCUGGAGAGCCCUUUGGCACAAG